CCUUGAGGAGGUUGGAGAUGAAGGGCUGGGACAGAGUCUUCUUUGCUGGGGGCGACAGCCUGCUAGGGACUCAACAGCAGUUUCCUUAGCGCUUCCAGUCCCAACCACUGGAGACCUAGUCGAGCGAAGUGGGGAAAGGGCAGCAAGCACCCAACGAGGGACCCAGAAGAGGCUGAUGGCCCUAAGAACCCCUUGUAGAUUUGUGUAGCUGUUAUGACAGUUUUCCAGCAGGUGGCAGACAAGCAUUUCCAGCUACAAGGCAACCAAGCCAAAGUACAGAUCAGAGACCAUCUUCCAGACUCCCAGGACAGCGAUCUUUCAGUCUCCCAGCAAGUAGGCCCCCUUCCACUUUCUCCAAGUGUAAACUGUCCAGGUGAUAGGAAGAAGAGAGGGGCUGGAAGCUGAACUUGUAGGGACAGAACACAAAAGUUGCAAACUGACGGCACCUACUGGCAACUAUCAAGACUGCAGAAGAUCUGGAGAGUUCUGACGGGAGGGAGGGGGGAGUGCCGGAGGACAAGAUUCUGGGAUUCUCUCCCUGCUAUCUCACAGACAAACUGGGGUCUUUUCUGUCUUGGAUAAGGGCAAACAGAGCCAGGCUCUUUACGUCCCCAGGGGAAGCCCAGCCUGCACCUGAUUUAGAAAACUUCCCCUAGCUCUAUCCCCCUCCAUCAUCACUGAGGCGCCAACGUAUUGUAUGAACUUGGACACCACCCCUUGGAGCUGGAAUUGUCCCUAACUAUAAAAUGGAGGUACAUCAUCUCCACCUAUUCUGCCUCUUGAAGCGCUUGUGGGAAUAAAAUGGGAACUGAAAGGAUGGGUUCCAACCCCAAAGCCAGACUUGCCCCCUCGACAGCAAACCUGAGAGAGCUAAAGGUGCUGGGACAUGGAGGAAGGAGUUGCAGGAGAGGCUGGACUGAAGCCAAGAGAAGGACCUGGAAGUGAAGCAUGAGUGCAGGUGUGCCUGUCCUGUUUGGCCUCCUGAAUGUCAGGUAAGUGCCUAUCUGGGUGAGGAAUUUCAAGAACUUUGGGACCUCUGGGAUGGCAGUGGAGGUAGGACAGAGGAACAGAAGGAAGAUUGAGGAACAAUUUUAACUUGGUCCCCACCUCUCUGCUGAGCUCAGGUGAGACAUGUUGAUGUAAGAGCGCCUCAUCUAUGCACACCCCCAGCUCACCCUAGCCUUAGAAGUGAUCUGGGAAUGGAACACCUGGGUGGCUCAGUUGGUUAAGCGCAUGCUGUUGGCUCAGGUCAUGAUCUCACGGUUCAUGGGUUCGAGCCCUACAUCCGGGCUCUCUACUGUCUGCUGGGAGCCUGCUAUGGAUCCUCUGUCCCCUCUUUCUCUGCCCCUCCCCCCCUCAAUAAUUAAUUAGUUAAUUUUUAAAAAGUGAUCUGGGAAGAACAGAAAAUCUAAGGGAAGGAUUGGAGGUCAGGGUCUUGUGAAAGAGAUUGCUUGGACUUUCUCUUUACCUACUCCAGUUAGAACCAGGGUUCAUUCACCCUAGUGCAGAAUUCUCCCUCCUUUUCACUUCAUGGGGAUGCAGCCUUACUCAGGAAAAGUAUCCUCUAGGACUCUUGCAGCUGACUCCUUCUGCCCCUUCUGGGUUUUCAUUCCAUCAGUUGCCUCACUGAAUCUUUGAGUUCAAGUUACAAAAGCCCUGGGACAGCCCCAGUGUCCCCAAAGGCAGCACAGCCAAUGUCAGCAAUGGGUACUGAGUCUUCCACUGAAUCCCAAGAGUAUGGAGCAAACUGUUGGUACAGUGGGUCCAAGCUUCCAGGGGGUAGUAAACAGAGGCAUGUGCGGACCUUUCCUUUCACUUUGGGGUUUGAUUGCUUGGCUGUCCCUCCAGAGUUGGCACUCCAGCACAAGAGGGCCUGCCGCUGGGUAUGCUGCCCCCAGGUGGACAAUGAGAGUACUGAUUAGCAUUCACAGUGGGUCUCCUGGGGAGUGGGCAUUGUACCAGGUGUUGAAGGUUCCAAAGGAGCAGGCCUUCAGAAGAGCUUGUGGCCAGAAGAGGGAGACCUGCAGCUAAACACACAACGAUCAGUGCUAUGUAACAAAGAGAAAUGUACUGGAUGCCAAGAAAGCACAGAGGAGCCCGGAGUGCGUGAUUAGAGAGAACUUCAAAGGGAAGUGAUGUGGGAUCUUGUCUUAAAAGAUAAGAAAUUUACAAUCUAGAGGAAAUUACCUAACCCCCUUAAUCUUCGGUUUCCUCAGUAUAAAGGGUUGGUGUAAAGAGUAGGGGGAAAAUUAUGUACAGGGCUGGUUACUAUGUCUAGUACAUAAUUGGCACUCAGAAAACUUACAUAUUAUAUGGUUUUUAGGAAAUGGCUCCGAUGGUGGGGGCUGACAGGUCUGCAAUUUGUAGGCAGACUGGCAGCUGGAGACUCUUGUGGAAUUUCUGUUCCAGUCCUGAAACAGAAUUCUUUCUUUUCUGAGAAACCUCCAUUUUUUGCUCCUAAGGCCUUCAACUGAUUGGAUGAGGCCCACCAGCAUUACAGAGGCAUUACAAUCCUUUUUUUCAAAGUCAACUGAUUGUAAGUGCUAAUUACAUCUACAGACUACCUUCACAGCAACAUCUAGGUUAGUGUUUGACCCAACUGGAUGCCAUAACCUAACCAAGUUGACACAGAAAAUUAACCAUCACAGAGGUCAUUCGAGGCAGAGGCUACUCCAGACAGGGACUAUGUUAUAUUUUUCUAGUUGAUUAUGUUUUCUGAGAAGUCGUUCUUUGUUAAAUGGGACUAUGUUUGAAUACUAUCAACAAUUUAGAGCACAAUUUACAGAAACAUGAACUCCUGUGUAAAAUCACCAUAACAUCUUAAAGUUAGAUGGGAUCUUAUAGAUCACUGGAUAUAACCCUCACUUUGGAGAGAUCUCUCUUACAACAUACUCAGAAAAUGGUCGUCUAGACUCCAACAUUCCAGUGGUAAGAAAAGUCCCUAGAUCCUAAGAAUGUCUAUUCUUGACCAGCUCUAAUUGGAAACUUUUUCUUUACAUGGUACUUUCUUACAUCAGUACCUCUCAUUAAUUAUUCUUUUUUACUUAUCAAAGACAAAUCUUAUCCUGAAUUUUUCCCAUCCUUGAAUAGAAUACUUCCUUACUUGCCCUAAAUGUUUAUUGGUCAGGUCAAAAUUCUUUUUUGUUUUUUUAAUUUUUUUAAUUAUAGUAUAAUUUAUAUACAGUGUUAUAUUAGUUUCAAGUGUACAAUAUAGAGAUUCAAUAGUUCUAUACAUUAUUCAAUGCUCAUCACGAGAAGUGUACUCUUAAUCCCCUUCACCUAUUUUACCCAUCUCCCCCACCCGCCUCCCUCUGCGGUAUUUGUUCUCUAUAUUUAAGAGUUUGGGGUUUUUGUUUGUCUCUUUUUUUCUUUGAUUGUGUGUCUUGUUUAUUAAAUUCCACAUAUGAGUGAAAUCAUAAGGUAUUUGUCUUUCUCUGGCCGACUUAUUUCACUUAGCAUUAUCCCCUCUAGAUUCAUCCAUGUUGUUGC